rnacentral:rRNA from 1 species
GACGAACGCUGGCGGCGUGCCUAAUACAUGCAAGUAGAACGCACAGUUUAUACCGUAGCUUGCUACACCAUAAACUGUGAGUUGCGAACGGGUGAGUAACGCGUAGGUAACCUGCCUGGUAGCGGGGGAUAACUAUUGGAAACGAUAGCUAAUACCGCAUAAUAUUAAUUAUUGCAUGAUAAUUGAUUGAAAGAUGCAAUUGCAUCACUACCAGAUGGACCUGCGUUGUAUUAGCUAGUAGGUGAGGUAACGGCUCACCUAGGCGACGAUACAUAGCCGACCUGAGAGGGUGAUCGGCCACACUGGGACUGAGACACGGCCCAGACUCCUACGGGAGGCAGCAGUAGGGAAUCUUCGGCAAUGGACGAAAGUCUGACCGAGCAACGCCGCGUGAGUGAAGAAGGUUUUCGAAUCGUAAAGCUCUGUUGUAAGAGAAGAACGGGUGUGAGAGUGGAAAGUUCACACUGUGACGGUAUCUUACCAGAAAGGGACGGCUAACUACGUG